rnacentral:rRNA from 1 species
AUGGCAAUGAUCAGCGCCACCACCGUCGUCUUGGCCACCAGACCGUCGCCGGCUGCAGGGCUUCCUCAGUUGAGAGUGGCCAGGGCCGUGAGGCUGAGGUGCAGCUACUCCAAGGACAGCAAGAGGGCAUCUUUGGCUCUGGCUCCGGUGAUACUCAAGGGCGCGCCGCUGCUCGCUGCGGCGAGCGCCAUGUCGGCCGCAACGCUGGCGGAGGUGGACGAGCGGAUGUCGGCUGAGCGUACCCGGCUGAGCAACGACCUACUGGGGUGGAUCCUGCUGGUUGCCGUCGGCCUCGUCCUGUCCUUCUACACCGUCUACUCCUCCAUGCCCAUCCUCGACGAUGAUGAUGACCAAUCCAGCGCUGGCGGCAUCACUCUCUGA